rfam:Nocardioides sp. JS614, complete genome.
GGCGUUUUUCGCCCAGGCGGAGCUCGACCGCCGACUCAAGUGAUCGUCGACUACAUCGACUCCCAUCGGAAGCGGUUCGGCGUCGAGCCGAUCUGUGCCGUGCUGUCCGAGCACGGUGUCUCGAUCGCGCCC